rnacentral:rRNA from 1 species
AUUGAACGCUGGCGGAAUGCUUUACACAUGCAAGUCGAACGGUAACAGGUCUCGGAUGCUGACGAGUGGCGAACGGGUGAGUAAUACAUCGGAACGUGCCCGAUCGUGGGGGAUAACGAAGCGAAAGCUUUGCUAAUACCGCAUACGAUCUACGGAUGAAAGCAGGGGACCGCAAGGCCUUGCGCGAACGGAGCGGCCGAUGGCAGAUUAGGUAGUUGGUGGGAUAAAAGCUUACCAAGCCGACGAUCUGUAGCUGGUCUGAGAGGACGACCAGCCACACUGGGACUGAGACACGGGCCCCAGACUCCUACGGGAGGCAGCAGUGGGGAAUUUUGGACAAUGGGGCGAAAGCCUGAUCCAGCCAUGCCGCGUGCAGGAUGAAGGCCUUCGGGUUGUAAACUGCUUUUGUACGGAACGAAAAGACUCUGGUUAAUACCUGGGGGUCCAUGACGGUACCGUAAGAAUAAGCACCGGCUAACUACGUG